rnacentral:lncRNA from 1 species
UUUUUUUUUUUUUUUUUUUGUCGUUUUUUGGCAGGUAGGGCUCAGGGUCUGUAGUUGCCAGGUGUCACCUAGACUGGUCACAUUGACCCUUGAGGUCCAGGUCACCCCAGCACUGACCUUCAUUUCCCAUGCUUACCCUGGGGAGUGUGGGUGGGGCUUCAAGAGGUAGGCAGAUGUGUGGGCAGAGCCUGACCUGGGCCUGGCUGGCCCUUACCAUUAAUGGCAAAGUAGAAAGCUAGCCCAGCGGAGCAAGAGAAGUAACAUGGCAUAAACCUGAAGCCAGGGACUUGUGCAGGGACAGCAGUGGUAGAAUCUGAGGUCUCAGCCAGUCUGAGAAAGUGUCUGAUUUAUGAUAUCAACUUAGGUGUGGAGAUGUAGCUUUCAGACCAACACCAGCAUGCUGUGCCCUGGGCCACUCCAGUGUUUCCUGAGGCCACGUGGAGGGCCAAACUGCAAGAAUUGGAGGCAGGAUCACCAUAGUGGGCACCAAUCUUCUGAAUUCAUUUUUUUGGGAGAUGGUGGGGGGUGGUACAGGAUCUUGUGUAGCCUGGGCUGGCUUCACACUAUGUGGCUGAGGGUGACCUUGAAUUCCUUGCCUCCAGGUCCCAGGGAUGGCAGGGUUAAGCCUCCGCCUGAGCCUGCUUUGGGGGCAGAUCUUUGAAGUUAAAUUGAUGGCUUCAGCUAAAAUGGGAACUCUCUCCUGUACUUCUCAAGCUGGCGUGUAAACCUUCAGGAAAGCGGGGACCCCGAGGCUGGGGGAAGUUGGAAAAGCAGACUCUAGGUGCUUUUGAGUGAGGACUUUGGCUGGAAGUCAGACCAGCUGCUGUGUGCACAGGAUGCUUGUGCCUGCGCCCCCAAGGUGACCUUGCUGUAUGCUAGGAGAGCGCCUCCAGCCUGCCCUUCUCCCUCCCACUGUCUAGACAGCUCACCCUUGACCUCUCUACCCCUUGGAGUGUCUGAGCCCAGAGUCCCCUCUGGGAACAUAGAGACAAAGCCUUACUCUCAGAGCCUGGACUCUGAGAGUUGGGGCUGUGGGGGUCCCUGUGGGGUCCCUAUGCAUGCCGAUGGCUUCUCAAAUGUGUACCCAGGCAGGUGGCCUCCCUCCCCAGCCCACCAUUUCUCUACAUCCACAGGCUGGAGAGAGCAAACAGAUAGAGGGGCUUUGGUGUUCUGUGUCUGGUGAAAUGCCUCCCGCCCCCCCCCCCCAAAGUACAGUGUCUGGACUAGAAAACAGGGCACAUAGCUCUUUUUUUUUUUUUUUUCUUUAUAUGCAGCAGUAGGGGAAUGAACCCAAGUCAAUGUUUGGGUUUGAAAAGCUAUAUCCUGAGUUGCCACAGCCACUAAACAUGCCUGUCAGUAAGGCCUGUCACUGGUGUCAGGGACACUGGUCACAAGCUGUAAGGAUUGCAUCAUCCAGGCAAUGGUCCUGGAGGCAGAACAAGAGUUCAAGGCCAGCCUCCCCCUACACUCCAAGUUAGAGGCCAGGCUGGGAUUUGAGAGACAAAAAACCAAAUUAUCAGGAAGAGAGGGAGAGAGGUGGGCAAGGUGACUCAGGGGGGAGUCAGUUACCACCAAACUUUUAUUCCCCAAGAGCCACAGGGUUUUCUUUUAUAAAAAGAGGUUUCACUAAUGCUGGUUGGCACCAGGCUCUUUUCCCUCAAAGCCUGGGUUGGCUCCGCCCAGGGCAGCUGAAGCCACACCUUAGGGAGCGCUUCCUGGGUGCCCCCACAGGGGGCCUGGCUGGUGUAUGGGACCCCCCAGUACCUCAGAUGUUUUAUCCUCUCAACAGGGCACUUCUGCCCUCUGAGACCCUUCAGGCCCAGUAUGUCUUCUCUUUGAGGCCAGAGCUCCCACCAAGCAUCCUGACCCCGGGGGAUAGAAGGGAGAAGGGCCUGCCAGGCUGCACUCGGGGAAACUCCACGCUCUUUACUCAGAACCAAUAAAGUCAUUGAAACCUGUC